UACGUAGGGUGCGAGCGUUAAUCGGAAUUACUGGGCGUAAAGCGUGCGUAGGUGGUUCGUUGUGUCUGUGGUGAAAGCCCCGGGCUCAACCUGGGAAUGGCGAUGGAUACUGGCUCGCUAGAGUGCGGUAGAGGAGAGUGGAAUUCCCGGUGUAGCAGUGAAAUGCGUAGAGAUCGGGAGGAACAUCAGUUGCGAAGGCGGCUCUCUGGACCAGCACUGACACUGAGGCACGAAAGCGUGGGGAGCAAACAGG
rnacentral:rRNA from 1 species